AGGACGAACGCUGGCGGCGUGCUUAACACAUGCAAGUCGAGCGGAAAGGCCCUUCGGGGUACUCGAGCGGCGAACGGGUGAGUAACACGUGAGUAACCUGCCCCUAGCUCUGGGAUAGCUCCGGGAAACCGGGAUUAAUACCAGAUACGACCACUUUAGACAUCUGUCGUGGUGGAAAGGAUUCCGGCUAGGGAUGGGCUCGCGGCCUAUCAGCUUGUUGGUGGGGUAACGGCCUACCAAGGCGACGACGGGUAGCCGGCCUGAGAGGGCGACCGGCCACACUGGGACUGAGACACGGCCCAGACUCCUACGGGAGGCAGCAGUGGGAAUAUUGCGCAAUGGGCGAAAGCCUGACGCAGCGACGCCGCGUGGGGAUGAAGGCCUUCGGGUUGUAACCCUUUCAGCAGGACGAAGCGAAAGUGACGGUACCUGCAGAAGAAGCGCCGGCUAACUACGCGCCAGCAGCCGC
rnacentral:rRNA from 1 species